AGACUCCACACUGUCAGUGCAGAGUCAGACAGGGUUUGGUCUCACAAAUGCUGAGAUUAUGACCUAAGCCAAUAUCAAGAGUCAGAUGUCUAAAUGACUGAGCCACCCAGGCGCCCUGGGCAAGGGAGUAUUCUUUUCUGUCUCCAUUAUGUAAGAGCAGAACUACCUUCUCCUGAUGAUCAAGAUCAAGUAGCCUUUCUAGGAUGGACUGGCGAUUCUUCAAGCUUCUGCCAUAUAUAGACCAGCCAGCUUCUGGGGUAUGACUGGAGCAGGGCUGAAGAUCCCAAGAAUCUAGGACUCUCUGGAAGGUCGCUUGGAGCAGAUUUGGGUCUUCGCUGAGACACUGGAAGAUUUGACAGCAGUGGACCCACAGCAGCGAUUGGUUAGAGGUCUCAAGACGCUUGCCUGCGGAUGAGCUCUUUCAACUGUGCCAGUCUGUCACUUCUUAGUGCUUCCCGGAUGGAGUGGAAAAAACCAAAAUAGUGUUCAAAGUUGUGCAUCAUAAGCAGGACUCCAGCCAACAGCUCGUUGGUCACCAGCAGAUGGUGGAUGUACGCACGAGUAUGAUUCUUACAGCAGUAACAGGAACACCCUCUCACAAGUGGAUCAAAGUCCUCCUGGUACCUGAGAAAGGAAGUUACAACAAUAUUCCAGUAAGUGAGGAAUAUAAGAAAUCUGCUAUCUA